rnacentral:rRNA from 1 species
ACGCACGACGGAUGGGCCGGGGGCUCCGGGGGGCUUACGGGAGCCAGCAGUAGGGAAUCUUCCGCAAUGGGCGCAAGCCUGACGGAGCAACGCCGCGUGAGUGAAGACGUUCUUCGGAUUGUAAAGCUCUGUUGCCCGAGACGANCGGAUGGGAGAGGAAAUGCUCCCAUCGAGACGGUAUCGGGUGAGAANCCCCGGCUAACUACGUGCCAGCAGCCGCGGUAAUACGUAGGGGACAAGCGUUGUCCGGAUUUACUGGGUGUAAAGGGCGCGUAGGCGGGUUUGUAAGUCAGUGGUGAAAUCCUGCAGCUUAACUGUAGAAUUGCCUUUGAUACUGCAAAUCUUGAGUUCGGAAGAGAGUAGCGGAAUUCCAGGUGUAGUGGUGAAAUACGUAGAUAUCUGGAAGAACACCAGUGGCGAAGGCGGNUANUUGGUCCGUAACUGACGNUGAGGCGCGAAAGCGUGGGGANCANACAGGAUUAGAUACCCUGGUAGUCCACGCUGUAAACGAUGAAUACUAGGUGUUGGAUGCAUUAGCAUCCAGUGCCGCAGNUAACGCAUUAAGUAUUCCACCUGGGGAGUACGAUCGCAAGGUUGAAACUCAAAGGAAUUGACGGGG